AUUACCUAUCUGUGAUGUGAAUUGUGACUUAACUUUAAUAUUUACAUUCACCAUUUUAAUAUAAAAAGAAAGACCUUGCACAGCUGGCAGAAGCUAUUGCAGAAGCAUCUUCUGGUUUUUUAGUGGGUAUUCCGUUGUUCGGGGUGCACUUCACUCGGACAUCGGCGAGCCCCACAUACCCCCCCACUGUUCCCGUGGGGGAAACGCGUAAUGCGUUAUUCCAGCGUAAAAAAAAAAUGGACCUGAAAUACUGCAGUGUCAAAUUACCAGCUCCGCAACCUUUUGCACAUAUUUAUAGCCCAGUUGCUAAAAGCCUCUUAUUGGUUUGCGAACCGCAACCCCCUCCUGUAACUGUAUUAAAAGAUGUAUUCUGUAGAUUCGGAAAUCUUAUCAAUUUAUGUACCUUGCUUGACAAAAGACUAGCAUUAGCGGAUUAUGCAGUAAGUGAAUCCGCAGAUGAGGCAAUAAAAUUAUUGCACGGAGCCGAGAUAUACGGGAUAAGGAUAAUAGUUAUAGAGGACAGGUCAUAAUUACAAGGCUAAAAUGUAAACUAUACUGACAUUUAUAAAUACAAGGUAGACCAGACUACAAUAAAAAAAUUUAAAAUUG